UGCUAAGUAAGUGCCACGGUGCGGGGGAAAACGUAGGUGCCGGUCGUUAGCCGGUAGUAUUGGGCGUAAAGCAUGCGUAGGCGGUUUAGUAAGACAAUGGUUAAAUCUCCGAGCUUAACUCGGAAAUCGCCGUUGUGACUGCUAGACUAGUCGAUAGCAGGGGCAAGCGGAAUUCUCGGUGUAGGAGUGAAAUCCGUUGAGAUCGAGAAGAACACCAAUGGCGAAGGCAGCUUGCUAGGCUAUUUGAGACGCUGAGGAACGAAAGCGUGGGGAGCGAACGGGAUUAGAUACCCGGAUAGUC
rnacentral:rRNA from 1 species